CACGAGUAACAUACGAGUACACACGAGUAACAUACGAGUAAAUACGAGUACAUACGAGUACAUAUGAGUACAUACGAGUAAAAUACGAGUACAUACGAGUAAAAUACGAGAAUUAGCACGCUUUCUUUAAAGUUUCCUUCACUUUCACACUUUCACUUUGGCUUCGUAUUAUGUACAUGUUGUAAAUGCCUUAUUGACAUAGGCGUACAAGACAGGGGGUGGGGGGGGGGGGCAACUGCCCCCCCAAAAUUUUGGAAAACCAUGGAAAUUCGGGCAAACGCUAGGAAAAAUCAAGAAAAUUC